UACGAAGGGGGCUAGCGUUGUUCGGAAUUACUGGGCGUAAAGCGUGCGCAGGCGGCUGCUCAAGUCAGGGGUGAAAGCCCAGAGCUCAACUCUGGAAUUGCCUUUGAGACUGAGUGGCUUGAGUACGGGAGAGGUGAGUGGAAUUCCCAGUGUAGAGGUGAAAUUCGUAGAUAUUCGCAAGAACACCAGUGGCGAAGGCGGCUCACUGGCCCGGUACUGACGCUGAGGCACGAAAGCCAGGGGAGCGAACGGG
rnacentral:rRNA from 1 species